GUAGUCUCGCACAGAUGCAUAUCAAUAAGCGGAGGAAAAGAAACUAACAAGGAUUCCCCUAGUAACGGCGAGUGAAGCGGGAAGAGCUCAAAUUUGAAAUCUUAAAGGGUUUCCCUUUACGAAUUGUAGUUUAAAGAAGUGUUUUCUGUUGAGGUUUUGGUAAAAGUUCUUUGGAAUAGGACAUCAUAGAGGGUGAGAAUCCCGUAUUUGACCUUUACUUUCAACUUUGUGAUACACUUUCAAAGAGUCGGAUUGUUUGGGAAUGCAGUCCAAAAUGGGUGGUAAAUUUCAUCUAAAGCUAAAUAUUGGCGAGAGACCGAUAGCGAACAAGUACCGUGAGGGAAAGAUGAAAAGAACUUUGAAAAGAGAGUUAAACAGUACGUGAAAUUGUCAAAAGGGAAGCGUUUGACACCAGUGUUGUUUUUCUGAAAAUCAAUUAAAGAACUGUUUAUGCUAAGUUGUUUAGACUUUAUCAGCUAAUCUGCUUAGUUUUGAGCUUUUCUUUAAUGCACUUUUCAGGUUAACAAGUCAACAUCAAUUUCUUUUGCUGUAAAAAAGCUUGAGGAAGGUGGCUUGAGAUUCGUCUUAAGUGUUUAUAGCCUCUUGCCUAUGCAGUCGGAGAGAUUGAGGUCUGCAGCGUAGAUCCUUCGGGGCUAAAUGCAUUUGUGCUAAGUUAUAGCAUUUUUAUAGACAACUUGUUGACUAUGAUUUGUCUUGUAGCUUACUCGCUUAUGUUAUUUUACCUACGCUUAGGAUGUUGACGCAUGAGAUAUACGC
rnacentral:rRNA from 1 species